UACGGAGGGUGCGAGCGUUAAUCGGAAUUACUGGGCGUAAAGGGCGCGUAGGCGGUGGGUUACGUCUGCCGUGAAAUCCCCGGGCUCAACCUGGGAAUGGCGGUGGAAACGGGCUGAAUGGAGUAUGGGAGAGGGUGAUGGAAUUCCAGGUGUAGCGGUGAAAUGCGUAGAGAUCUGGAGGAGCACCAGUGGCGAAGGCGGUCACCUGGCCCCAUACUGACGCUGAGGCGCGAAAGCGUGGGGAGCAAACAGG
rnacentral:rRNA from 1 species